GCCGCGCCGCGUUUCGGGGCGCGCGCGGGAUUUCCAGCGCGCGAGGCGGCCCGGAUUUUCGGGGGGGCCUGGAAACCCCGGAGAGUCCCCGGCCCGCGCCUUUCCAGGUUCUGCUGGGGUUUUGCACGGAGAUGGAAUGAACAAGACAUGAUUCUGGUCCCCAAGGAGAGGCUUCUGGGUGGAGGAACCAAGACAGCCCCUGGAUAAUGGCCAGCAAGGACAUGAAUCCUUCCAAGAUCAGUACAAAUGCCCUUGGGAGUCGACCCUGCCCCAGGGACGCCUUGUCUGCAGCAUCAUAAAGCCUGGAGCCAGCCCACCCAGCUAAGCCCCACCCCGCUUCCCAACCUGUGGAAACUGAGAUAAGAAACAUGAGUGGCUUUAAGCUACUGUGUUUUGUUACCCAGCACUAGAUGACUAAUACACGGGUGUUACAUGUGUUUCCUUCUCUAAUACUGUACUUGUCUCCACCCACUGGAAAUUCUUAUUCCUUGCCAUGUCCACCAUCCUGGAGUGUGAUUUUGUGCUGGCUGGUCCCUCUCCCUGGGAGGCCUCUCCCCACCUGUUCACCUGGUUGGUCCCCUCCUUCUCUUCGAGUCCUUGCUCAAAUGCCACCUUCUCCAAGAGGCCCACCCUGUUUAAAAAUGCACUCCCCCUCGGGCUUCCCUGGUGGCGCAGUGGUUGAGAGUCCGCUUGCCGAUGGAGGGGACACGGGUUC